rnacentral:sRNA from 1 species
GUUGUUGUUUCUAUGUAAAAUAAAAUAGAAUAAUAGAAUUGACG